UACAGAGGGGGCAAGCGUUAUUCGGAAUUAUUGGGCGUAAAGGGCGCGUAGGCGGCUUUUCAAGUGACGGGUGAAAUCCCUCGGCUUAACCGAGGAACUGCCUGUCAGACUGGAAGGCUUGAGACCGGGAGAGGUGAGUGGAAUUCCCAGUGUAGCGGUGAAAUGCGUAGAUAUUGGGAGGAACACCCGUGGCGAAGGCGGCCAACUGGGCCGGACCUGACGCUGAGGCGCGAAGGCGUGGGAGCGAACGGG
rnacentral:rRNA from 1 species